CCAAAUGCUCUCACUUUGGCUUUGAGGUUCUAAAUCUUGGAUCCCUUCACAGGUAUACACAUCCCUGACGUAUAACGCCACUCCUCCUCCUUUCUUGUCUGGUCUGUUUCUCUGAAAUAGAUUGUAUCCCCCCAUUAUUACAUUCCAAUCGUGGGACUUAUCCCACCAGGUUUCAGUGAUGCCUAUUAUGUCAUAUUUAGUUUGCUGUACCAAGAGCUCAAGCUCAUCUUGUUUAUUUCCCAUGCUUUGCGCAUUAGUGUACAGACAUUGAGGUCCAUUAAUCAUUCCCCCGUGUCUCUUAUUUAAGGAUUUUUUCCUCCCACCACUAGGUCUGCGUGCUGUAUGCUCCAUUUGGUCUAUGACAUUUGGAUGAUCAUCUUCAUCAAUUGAUAGACUCCUACCUUCAGGAGCACUGUCUCCCUCCCCCACAUUAGUCAGUUAAAAGCCCUCCUGAUGAGGUUUCUGAGAUUUUUGGCAAAAACAUUUCUCCCAACCGUUGUGAGGUACAGCCCAUCGCUUGCCAGAAGUCCAUCUUCAGGAAACUGCAGU